rnacentral:rRNA from 1 species
GACGAACGCUGGCGGCGUGCCUAAUACAUGCAAGUAGAACGCACGGUUUAUACCGUAGCUUGCUACACCAUAGACUGUGAGUUGCGAACGGGUGAGUAACGCGUAGGUAACCUGCCUGGUAGCGGGGGAUAACUAUUGGAAACGAUAGCUAAUACCGCAUAAUAUUAAUUAUUGCAUGAUAAUUAAUUGAAAGGUGCAAUUGCACCACUACCAGAUGGACCUGCGUUGUAUUAGCUAGUAGGUGAGGUAACGGCUCACCUAGGCGACGAUACAUAGCCGACCUGAGAGGGUGAUAGGCCACACUGGGACUGAGACACGGCCCAGACUCCUACGGGAGGCAGCAGUAGGGAAUCUUCGGCAAUGGACGAAAGUCUGACCGAGCAACGCCGCGUGAGUGAAGAAGGUUUUCGGAUCGUAAAGCUCUGUUGUAAGAGAAGAACGGGUGUGAGAGUGGAAAGUUCACACUGUGACGGUAUCUUACCAGAAAGGGACGGCUAACUACGUG